UGGGGAAUUUUGGACAAUGGGGGAAACCCUGAUCCAGCCAUCCCGCGUGUGCGAUGAAGGCCUUCGGGUUGUAAAGCACUUUUGGCAGGAAAGAAACGUCGCGGGUUAAUACCCCGCGAAACUGACGGUACCUGCAGAAUAAGCACCGGCUAACUACGUGCCAGCAGCCGCGGUAAUACGUAGGGUGCAAGCGUUAAUCGGAAUUACUGGGCGUAAAGCGUGCGCAGGCGGUUCGGAAAGAAAGAUGUGAAAUCCCAGAGCUUAACUUUGGAACUGCAUUUUUAACUACCGGGCUAGAGUGUGUCAGAGGGAGGUGGAAUUCCGCGUGUAGCAGUGAAAUGCGUAGAUAUGCGGAGGAACACCGAUGGCGAAGGCAGCCUCCUGGGAUAACACUGACGCUCAUGCACGAAAGCGUGGGGAGCAAACAGGAUUAGUACCCUGGUAGUCCCACGCCCUAAACGAUGUCAACUAGCUGUUGGGGGCCUUCGGGCCUUGGUACGCAGCUAACGCGUGAAGUUGACCGCCUGGGGGAGUACGGUCGCAAGAUUAAAAACUUAAAGAAUUGACGGGGGUGCUA
rnacentral:rRNA from 1 species